rnacentral:rRNA from 1 species
UACAGAGGGUGCGAGCGUUAAUCGGAAUUGACUGGGCGUAAAGAGCUCGUAGGUGGUUCGAUACGUCGGAAUGUGAAAAGUCAACGGGCUCAACCCCUGACUGCAUCCGAUACGGUCGAGCUAGAGUUUGGGUAGGGGAGACUGGAAUUCCUGGUGUAGCGGGUGAAUGCGCAGAUAUCAGGAGGAAUACCGAUGGCGAAGCAGGUCUCUGGGCCAAUACUGACACUGAGGAGCGAAAGCGUGGGAGCGAACAG